rnacentral:rRNA from 1 species
AUUGAACGCUGGCGGCAGGCCUAACACAUGCAAGUCGAACGAGCGGCGGACGGGUGAGUAAUGUAUGGGAAUCUAGCCUAUGGAGGGGGAUAACUACGGGAAACGGUGGCUAAUACCGCAUACCAUAGGAUGAACCCAAGUGGGAUUAGGUAGUUGGUGGGGUAAAGGCUAACCAAGCCGACGAUCUCUAGCUGGUCUGAGAGGAUGACCAGCCACACUGGGACUGGGACACGGCCCAGACUCCUACGGGAGGCAGCAGUGGGGAAUAUUGCGCAAUGGGGGCAACCUGACGCAGCCAUGCCGCGUGAAUGAAGAAGGCCUUCGGGUUGUAAAGUUCUUUCGGUAGCGAGGCGUUAACUACAGAAGAAGCACCGGCUAACUCCGUGCCAGCCGCCGCGGUAAUUC